GCGAAAGUCCCGCAAGGGAUGAGUAGAGUGGCAAACGGGUGAGUAACACGUGGGUGACCUGCCUUCGAGCGGGGGAUAACGUCCCGAAAGGGACGCUAAUACCGCAUGACAUCCCGCCUUUGAAGAGGUGGAGAUCAAAGCUGGGGAUCGCAAGACCUAGCACUUGAAGAGGGGCCCGCGUCUGAUUAGCUAGUUGGUGGGGUAACGGCUCACCAAGGCAACGAUCAGUAUCCGGCCUGAGAGGGCGGACGGACACACUGGGACUGAGACACGGCCCAGACUCCUACGGGAGGCAGCAGUGGGGAAUUGUUCGCAAUGGGCGCAAGCCUGACGACGCAACGCCGCGUGGAGGAUGAAGACCUUCGGGUCGUAAACUCCUUUCGAUCGAGACGAAUGGCUUCCGGGUGAACAAUCCGGAAGAAUGACGGUACCGAGAGAAGAAGCCCCGGCUAACUCCGUGCCAGCAGCCGCGGUAAUACGGGGGGGGCAAGCGUUGUUCGGAAUUACUGGGCGUAAAGGGCUCGUAGGCGGCCAACUAAGUCAGACGUGAAAUCCCUCGGCUUAACCGGGGAACUGCAUCUGAUACUGGAUGGCUUGAGAUUGGGAGAGGGAUGCGGAAUUCCAGGUGUAGCGGUGAAAUGCGUAGAUAUCUGGAGGAACACCUGUGGCGAAGGCGGCCACCUGGUUGGAUACUGACGCUGAUACGCGAAAGCGUGGGGAGCAAAC
rnacentral:rRNA from 1 species